UCUCCGUUGGUGAACCAGCGGAGGGAUCAUUAUCGAGUUUAUAACUCCCAAACCCUAUGUGAACUUACCACUUGUUGCUUCGGCGCGCGCUUCGGUGCCGCCGAGGACACUUAAACUCUUUGUUUUUAUAAGCAUUUCUGAGUGGCCGAAAGGCAAAAUACAAAUGAAUCAAAACUUUCAACAACGGAUCUCUUGGUUCUGACAUCGAUGAAGAACGCAGC
rnacentral:misc_RNA from 1 species